rnacentral:tRNA from 1 species
GGGGGAUUAGCUCAUCUGGCUAGAGCGUUUGACUGGCAGUCAAAAGGUAAUCGGUUCGAGUCCGAUAUUCUCCAC